UUAGUAUACUUCAUCUACGGCCAAAUACAAGAAGAUAGAGAAUUACAAACUAGGUUAUGUCUUCCUACAAACUAACUAGGGUAGUAGUCAAGUUUCUUCAACUGGAUUGUCAAUUUCUUCCUCCUUCUACCUCUGCAAUGUAUGCCUUAAAUGAUCUGUCUCACUAUAGUUAUUGCUGGUCUGGUUUUUUGUUGGAAGAUUUUGUUGUUCCUUUCCAACCAGGUAUAAUAUACACUUCCUACAAGGGCCAUUCGGUAUAUCUCUGCUUUUGCAUUAUUACUAUAGGCAUGCUUUUGCACCCACUCAACUUCCUCCUGCCAUCCCAUAGUCUGCCGUUGAAUUCCCUACCACUGAAGGAUCUGCUGUCAAAUCUGGGAUGUAACUGGGCAUUUGAAGAACAAGUGAUGUACAUCCUCAUCAACGCUAUCACACAAUGGACAGGUCGUGCCAUAGUCCAUGCCCCAUUUUUGCAAUCUAGUCCUUGUAUAUAGUCUGUCUUGUAUUGCAAGGUAGAUGAUGAAUAACCACUUGGGGCUGCCCUGGUUGUUGCACAUCAACUUCCUCCGAUGCACUUUAGAAUAAUUGUUUCUCAGCUUAUUAUACAUUAUCUUUAUAGCAUAUGUCCUACAGUUUAGAAAUUCCUCGACAGUUAGACCUGCAUUCUCCAGGUAUUGUUUAGCCUUUAUGAUCUUCUGAAUCAACCAAGAUGCUUGUGUAGCAAUGGUUUCCAUACUUCAUUACCCUUACUAUAGUAGAUAUGCACCCAUUGUAUCCACAGCUUAUCCUUCUUCUUACAUAAGUUACAGUAGUGCUUAAGUAUGGCAGCUUUAUUCCAUGUGUAGAUGUCUGUUAUGUUGAGACCAUCUGCUGAUUUUGGCAAGUAGAGUUUGUACCAAGCUAUUAGAGCCUUCUUUGAGCAUUCAUUAUUUCCAUUCCAGAGAAACCUCCUAGACAUUUAUUUAAUCCUCUAAAUCACCUUAUUGGGCAGGAAGAAUAUUUGAGACCAAAAUUAUUGGAUGGCUGUGAGUACACUUUUGAUCAGCUGCAACCUACCUGCAUAGGAUAGAAACUUUGCUGUCCAGGAGGUUACUUUCCCUAUCAUCCUCUCUAUCAAUGGUUGAUAUUGCCCAAUUGCUAGUCUUUUCGAGCUUAGUGGAACUCCCAAGUACCUGAAGGGGAGAGAUCCCAUAGAGAAGCCUAACUCUUGUAUUAUUUCCUGCUGAAUCUGGUUUGGCACACCUCCAAAGUAGACAACACUCUUCCCUUGAUUGGCUACCAACCCAGAUGCCAAGGAGAAUUGUUGAAAGCACUUGUACAGUAGCCUGGUAGAUACCACAUCUCCCCUACAAAACAACAACAAGUCAUCUGCGAACCCCAACUGUAUUAUAUUCAUCUUGUCACAUCGACGAUGAUAGUUAAAGUCUGGAUUAUCUUUCAAUGUUUUCAGUAGUCUACUAAGGUACUCCAUGUCUAUCAUAAACAGGAACGGUGAUAAGGGGUCACCGUGCCUCACUCAUCUUUUUGCAGCAAAAGGAGCACUUUGUUGACCAUUGAUGACUAUAGAGUAUGAGACUGUCGAUUCACAUACCAUGAUCCACCUAACAAAUAUUUCAAGAAAGUUCAGAGCAUUUAGAAAUUGUUCUAGAAACACCCAUUCUAUAGAGUCAUAAGCUUUUUGCAUGCCAAUUUUUAUCAUGCAUCUUGGUGACACCCCUUUCCUCCUAUAUCCUUUCACUAGUUCAUGGCUAAGGAUAAUAUUGUCGGUUAUGACUCUGCCAUGUAUAGAUGCAACCUGGCUCCCAUCAAUGAGGCUAUCUAUAACCCCCUGUAAUCUGUUAGUGAGCAUUUUGGAUAUGAACUUAUAAAUUGUGGAGCAGCAGGAGAUAGGUCUAUAUUGUUUUACCGAGGAAGGGCUUUUAACUCUAGGAACUACGGUGAUAGAUGUGCAGUUUAUCGGUUGGUAGAGUUUAAUGGUGUCAAAGAAGUUCGGAACAGCUUUAGUUACCUUAUCUCCAAUCGUGAUCCGUGCUUUCUUAAAGAAUAUUAAGUUAAAACCAUCUAUCCCUGGAGCUUUGUUAUCAUCAAUCCCCUAUAAGGCUUGCCAAACCUCUUCCCUGGUAAAUGGUUAUGUAAGAUGCAAUUGUUGUGACCUUGAAAGGAUGGAUCCACUCCUUAUAACAUCUAAUUGUAUAGCAGAUGUGUGGGAUUUGCAGCCCCAGAUAGGUCCUUAUAGAAACCUAAAAUCUCCUCCUCUAUCCCCUUUUCUGAUUGGAUAAUGUCACCUGUUGUACUAACAAGUGAUUUAAUCUGAUUCUGAGAUCUCCUAUUCUUGAUGCUGGCAAAGAAAUAAGCUGAGUUUGAGUCCCCUAAUUUGAGCCACUGUACUCUAGAUUUCUUCUUGUAUAUGCUCUCCUCUAUCAGAUCUCAUUUUUCCAGUUGAGAUCUUAGCUCUUCCUCUACUUCAAAGUUAUGAGGAUCCUAAUUAUAUGUUCUCAUAUGCUGUUGUAGUAGUUGGAGAUCAUUCGUGAUACUUUUGAUUUUUCCCAAUGAAAUCCUCUGUGUUUAAGGCUUUCAUUGCUUGUUUCAUGGUUUUUAGCUUGAGCCAUAUUCUUUUUAGGUAUUGUGCAUUGGUAGUAGCCUUCCAGUUGUCUUCUACUAUCUUCCUAUAGUUUGGAUGAUCAACCAGACAAUUCAAAAAUCUGAAAGGUCUUGGUGUUCUCUUCUAUUGUCUCCCCAACUCGAUACUUAGUAGUGAAUGAUCAGAAAAGUAUGGGUCUAGGACAUGGACAGGAAUAGUAGGCAUAUAGUUCAUCCACUCUCCGUUAACUAAAGCCCUAUCAAUUUUGCCGAAGACAUGGCUGUUAGUCCACGUGAAGGGUCUACCUCAUCCGGGUUGGUGGGGGGGGGGGGGGGAUGAAUCACCAUGGAUCUACAGAGAAACAAACACCGAUGAACAAGGCUAAUCAACUGGGCAAACAAGGAUCUGAGAACAGGCCAAGUACUGGGAAAGGGAAAGGAAUAACUGAUUUGGUUGACCCAGGUUGACAGUGGCGGUGGCACCACUUGUAAUGCAGAGGGUACAUAUGGGGUUAAAUCUAUUGAAAUUCAGGAAAAACCUACUGCAACAAAGGAUCCUAGCAGUAUCAAGGUGAAUGGCAAAGAGAAUGAAGAGGCCCAUAAGAUGCAAAGAAAAAUUGACCUACUUAGAGGGAAUGACAACACACAAACCUGGGCAAAUAUUGUUACAGGAAAUAAAUUGGCAUAAAAAAGCAUGGGCCUAAGGUAUGUAGCCCCUAUUAUCCAGGAAGGGAAGACAAUUGUUAAACUGGAACCAGAGGAUAUAGAAGAGGAAAGUACGAAGUGGAAAUUGGCUAUUGUUUUGUACGUCAUUGGAGACUCUCCAUCGCUCGGAGCAGUGAAGAGGUUUCUCACAAUACAAUGGAAGCUUGCAGAAAAGACCCAAAUAUACUACCACAACGAUGACUACUUCGUCAUUCGAUUCAAGAGCAUGGAGGAAAGGGCAUAAUUGCAAGACUAUGAAUCUGCAGAAGCAACCUCUGCAAAUUCAGAAAGGGAAACAAUCAAAGCCUGUGCAAGUGUAGAGAAUGAGCGAUCAAGUGCUGAAGAUAACUGAUAAACAGAGUGUACAACCACAUAGUGGUAAUACUAAACCAACUAAUGGAAAAGGAUAUGGCGACAAAGCACAAGCAAAAGGAUGGACGCUGGUGAAAGCAAAAUCAGCCACUAAGAUGGCUAAAAAUUGGGGCACCAAAGAAGGAAAUGUUGACACAAACAAUGGUUCCAGUUCACUAACACGAUGUGUUAAUGACCCACCAAGCCAGAUCAUGGUAGUUCAGCAAGGCAAGUAUUGUGAAAGAGGGCAAAGUAGCAAAGGUGAUGUGGAUGACCAACACCAUUUCCCUCUAUUACUAAGAUGAAAGUCAUUACUUGGAAUGUGAGGGGAAUGAACAAAGUGUAUAAGCAAAAGGAGACGAGGGAGUUCAUUAAAGAGAAUAAAGUUAAUAUUAUAGCUAUAGUAGAGCAUAAAAUACAAGAAUAUAAAGAGGGUCAGGUGAUUAACAAAAUUGCACAUGCAUGGGAAUGACUCUUAAAUACCUCCCCAAAUAAUAAAGGAAGAAUAUGGCUACUAUGGGAUCCCAAGAUUGUUGUGGUCAAGAAGCUCAGCAUAUAUACUCAAUACAUACAGGCUGCAAUCAGUUUUUCUAAUUCUACAAUAGCCUUUCAUUUCACAGUUGUCUAUGGUUUGCAAACAGUAUAUGACAUGAAAGAAUUAUGGGGUAAACUCGGAGAAAUAGAGAGUAGACAACAAGAACAUGGCUUGUAAUAGGAGAUUUCCAUGCUAUUCUUGAGUUUGUAGACAGAGUACAUGGUAAUAUGGUGCAAGACCAUGAAAUAAGAGACUUCAGAGAAUUUGUAGAAGAUGCUGGUAUGAUAGAAUAUUAGUUUUAUUUGAAGAAAAUCAAAGAAAUACAAUCUGAUUACUAGUCAUGAAGGAGUAUGAUGUAGGGUUUUCUUCAAUAUUUAAAUUCUAUAAUUUUCUCACCAACGAGCUCAAACUGGAAAGCUGGAAGAGAUCAAUAACUGAAAAAAAUCUAUUUAUAAAUUUCUUCAAGUUUUUUUCUUGGGUGCAAUUGUACUUAAAAUUCUUAAGUUCUAUUCUGCUAUCAAGUUUGAAUUAUUUAUCAUUAAUUUCUCAAUUUCUUUUGGGUUGAAAGUGUGAAGGUACAUGAGCUACAAGUGGGAGAAGGGUUGAAGGAGUUAGCGAAUUGUUAUCUAUUAAUUUUCCUUUCAUUUUCUUCUCUCUCUUUUGUAUUUCUAUGUUUUUCUCGCUUGAUUUGUAGUCGUGACUUUCUGAUUUGGAUUAUUGGAGCAUUGUUUCAUUGA